AAUAUCUUAUAAACAGCUUCAAGAGUUUUUUCCUCAACUUCGUAUAUCUGAAAUUGUAGAUGGAAGACGAAAUUCAUUCUUGGAACUCACUAAGUAAAAACACUUUACAAUGUUGUCAAGAUUCCAAGGUACAUGCAAGAUCAAGCAAAAAAAGGCAGCCCAGUGCACUAAGCUCCCGCUAUGCGAGGGGUACGGGGAAGGACCCGACCAAAUGGUCUAUUAUAUGCAGCCUUACCCUGCAUUUCUGCAAGAGGCUGUUUCCACGGCUCGAACCCGUGACAUCCUGGUCAAGUGGCAGCAACUUUACCAGUUACGUCAAGGCUCCCCUUCAAGCAAGAUCAAGCAACAACGAAACAAUUUUCAGGGCAUUAGCAUGAACUCCCCAAUUUUGUCUUAUUUUUUUGAUAAGGAAAAAAUUACUCAUGCUCAAUAGGCAUUAGCAUGAGCUCCCCGGCUUUAAAAGAUCAUUGCAUAACUUCAUACAGCAAUAUUCAGCAGUAGCUUUGAGUAGAAAUUCAUUCUUGGAACAAGACAUGAUAGACAUUUUAAUGUUUUCAAAACUAUUGCAAUGGAAAGAACCAAUAGCAACCGACCUUAGCCAGUUGGUAGAGCGGAGGACAUUUUAAUGUUUUCAAAACUAUUGCAAUGGAAAGAACCAAUAGCAACCGACCUUAGCCAGUUGGUAGAGAGGAGGACUGUAGUUGGGGUGUAAAACCUAUCAGAUAUCCUUAGGUCGCUGGUUCAAAUCCGGCAGGUCGGAUUGAUUCUUUUGCCAUCUUCUUUCCCUUUUUCUUAUAAUUAUUUUAAUCUGGAGAAGAGGGUUUCUAUAUAAUAUACUCUCACUCUGACAAGAGGUGCAUGAAAAGUAUUUAUUACCAUUAUUUUUGGUAAUAGCACCUUAUAAAGAAUAUAUUUGUGUCAGUAGUGUGAGAUUCCCUGCAAUCUCCAAUUUCUUAAUUCAGGCAGAGGCUUAAAAUUUCAGUAAGAAACCCAGACGUACGACAUCUAGCUUCUACAUACCAAUGUAAGAAACAACGAGCAUCCAAUUGUAUCAAAUGUCUUCAAAUACCAAUUUCAAGAGUACAUACUACAUACUCUUGAAAUCCGAUACUUAGACGUUGAAACGCAGAAGGAAUGCCUAGAGAACUAGUGUUGCAAAACAAACCUCAUAAGAGCAAAUAACUAGAAGGAUGCAAUGCACAUAGAUCAUGACAAUCUGGGCUUCGUUGGAGCCCGAACUGGCAGAAGAAAUAAUGCGCACUUCAGGCCAAAAGGUAGAAAAGUUACCAAACAUCCUAUAAACAACAACAACAACAACAACCACAACAACAACCCAGUAAAAUCCACAAGUGGGGUCUGAAGAGGGUAGUGUGUACGCAGACCUUACCCCUAACCCAGGGGAGUAGAGAGGAUGUUUCUAAUAGACUCUCGGCUCAAGACGACUUCUUCUUCCUCAAGAGUUGCAGAUGGAUGACAAAAUUCAUUCUUGGAAGUUAUUAUAAGUAAGAUCACCUUACAAUGUUAUCAAGAUCCAAAGAUACAUGCACGAGCAAACAACAACAAAACUAUUUUCAAGCAAUUAGAAUGAGCUCCCCAAUGAUCCCACAUUUCUUUUCAGGCAUCCUAAACCAACAAUUCCUGAUUUUCAUACAGCAACAUAAGGAAGACAAACAGUAUCUGACCGUCACAAAUAUCUUAUAAUACAGCUUUCCUGAUCUUCAUUUAGCAAUAAGGAAGACAACCACUAUCCAACUGACACAAAUAUCUUCUAAUACACAUUGAUCAAGCUUUUGACAUUGCAUUGUAUGUGUAUUAGAAAAAGAAAGGAAAAAGAAGAGUUUAUAGCAGAGAGAGACAGAAAAUCUUGAACUGCAAGCUUUAGGUGAGUGUAAUGAGGGAAUGUACAGAGGAAAAGUUCAUGAAAUAAUAUUAAUGGACAUUAAAUUAGUAUGAUAACCAGAAACUCAUGAAAUAACUAAUGGACAUUCUUCAGGCCAAAAGCCAAAGCUCACCAAGCAUAUAUAAACAAUCCGAAAGUUUAUCCCUUAACUUCAUAUUUGUGAUAUGGUAAAUGGAGAAUAUACAUUAUUGGAAUUUAAUAGGAUAGAUCACCUCAUAGUAUUUUCAACUAGACAUGGUUUAUAUAACCGACCUUAGCUCAGUUGGUAGAGCGGAGGACUGUAGUUGGGGUGUAAACCUUUCAGAUAUCCUUAGGUCACUGGUUCGAAUCCGGUAGGUCGGAUUAAAUUAUUUUCAAUAAUAUUCUUUUAGCAACUUGCUGGAUAACUCACACCCCCAGUGUGACAAGAGGUACACAGAAACUAUUUUUUUAACAGUAGCAUCAGACUGACUUAUAAUCCUCAAUUCAUCUAUCUUGGAAAGUACUCUUAAAACUUCAGUGAAAACACCAAAACCUUCAAGAAUCCUACUUUCCCAACAACAACAGGAACUACACCCUGUCCCGAACAAGUUGGUCGGCUAUAUGAAUCCUCAUUUCUCCAUUUAAGCUCAACUCAUGUCAUAAUCAUACAAAACAAAAUAGAAGUGAAAAAUAAAUUUUUAUAUAUAUAAUAGUUAUAAUAAUAUUAGAAGUUCUCUAACAAGUGUAAAAACUAUUACCAACUUGUAGAUAUUUUCUUCCACUAUGUCCUAUCUUUAGCUUAGUCGGAAUUGAUUCCAAUGAUUUCAUUAGUUCUAAUCAACCAAGAUUCAAUCUUUAUACCUAAUACAUGAACUGCAUAAACACUGAUUAGCUACUCAUGUCAAUGUUAAUAAAUUCCAACAUCACACUUAACAAAUCAGUGAGAAAGAAAAGGAUAUAAAAGCGAGAAAUCCAAGACUUACAUCAAUAAAACUGGUGAACAAAAUUAGCAAUAGCUUUAAGUGGAAACCAUUCUUAGAACAGAACAAGCUAGAUAUUUUUUAAUGUUUUCAAAACCACAGCAUUGGGAAGAAUCAAUAGAAACCGACCUUAGCUCAGUUGGUAGAGCGGAGGACUGUAGUAGGGUGUAAAACCUAUCAGAUAUCCUUAGGUCGCUGGUUCGAAUCCGGCAGGUCGGAUUGAUUCUUUUGCAAUCUCUUUUUCUAAUAGUUAUUUUAAUCUGGAGAAGAGGGAUUUUCCAUAUAAUAUAGUCCUACUCUGACAAGAGGCACAUGAAAACAAUUUAUAAGCAUUAGUUUUGGCUAUAGCAGCUUAUAAAAAUAUACAGCGUCAGUAGUGUCAGAUUCCCUGCAAUAUCCUAUUUCUUAAUCCCGGCAGAGGCGUAAAAUUUUAAUGAGCACAAAAACUAGCUUCUCUAUACCAAAGUAAGAAAACAACAAGCACCCAACUGUCACAAAUGUCUUGGAAAGGAGACACCAGGGUGGUGGAAGGGAAGGAAAGAGUCAGCACUUAUGGUGUGAUAAGCACUGACAGCAAGAAUUUGAAUCCGAUACUUAGGCAUGAAAAUGCAGAAGGAAUGCCUAGAGAGCACGUAGUGGUGCAAAAGGAACAACAUCAGAGCAAAUAACUAGAAGGAUGCAAUGUACAAUAGAUCAUAACAAUUUGGGCUUCCUUGGAGCCAGAAUUGGUAGAAGAAAAAUGUAAAGGUAGAUAAGUCACCAAACAUCUUAUAACAACUUUAUAAUAGUUUCUUCUUCAAUUUCAUAUAUUUGAAGUUGAAGAAAAUAUUCAUUAUUGGAAACCACUAAGAAAGAUUACCUUACAAUGUUAUCAAGAUUUGAAUGUACAGGCAAGAUCAAACAAUAACCGAAAUAUUUUCAAGGCAUUAGCAUGAGCACACCAAUAAUUUCCUGAUUUUUCAUAUUGCAAUACAGGAAGAGAACCCCUAUCCAACUGUCACAAAUAAUUUCUAAUCCGAAUUGAUCAAACUAUUGACACUGCAUUGUCUGUGUAUACGAAAGAAGGAAAGGGAAAAGAAGAGUUAAUAGCAGAGAGAUGGACAUAAAAUCUUGAACUGCAAGCUUUAGGUGAGUGUAAUUUACAAGGAAUGUAUAUAGAAAAAGUAUGAUGCAAAAUAACAGCACGAGGUCAGCUAGUAUGAUUACCCGAACCACUUGAAAUAACUAAUGGACAUUCUUCAGGCCAAAAGCCAAAGCUCACCAAGCAUAUAUAAACAGUCCAGAAGUUCAUCCAUCAACUUAAUAUUUGUAAUAUGGUGAAUGGAAAACAUACAUUCUUGGAAUUUAAUAGGAUAGAUCAGCUCACAAUAUUAUCAAUUAGACAUGGUUUAUAUAACCGACCUUAGCUCAGUUGGUAGAGCGGAGGACUGUAGUGUGGGUGUAAACCUUUCAGAUAUCCUUAGGUCACUGGUUCGAAUCCGGUAGGUCGGAUUAAAUUAUUUUCAAUAAUAUUCUUUUAGCAACUUGCUGGAGGAAGAGGGGGUCCC
rnacentral:lncRNA from 1 species